UAAUUUGAUGUAAGUCACAGACUCUCUUGU
rnacentral:piRNA from 1 species